rnacentral:tRNA from 1 species
CGGGGCGUAGCGCAGCCUGGUAGCGCGUCUGCCUUGGGCGCAGAAGGCCGGCGGUUCGAAUCCGCCCGCCCCGACCA